CUCAAAUUGAUUUUUGGAUCAAUAACGGAGCAGGUAACUCUUCGUGCAUGAUGGAGCUAACGGGACACUCCCGUCAGGCGGCUGGCAGGCAGAGCGCGUGAGGAAGGCGUGGCCGGACAGUCGUCCGCGCUGGGUUUCACCGUCGCAGCACGUGACUCGAAUGGCUGCUGCUCCACUCGGAGGUCUGGUCCAACUUCACUUCGCCUCCUCCUUAUCGCGCCGCGUCGUCUCGCUCCGCGUCGUCUCGCCCCGCCGCCUGAAGCCAGAGGCAACUCUCGCUAACGAGGCUUCACAUCAACCGUUCCCGUGAAGCGCAGGGAGACUGGCCGGAGAGGGAGCAACUUCUGAACAACAGACUUCAUCGCAAACAAACAACCCCGAGUAGACUUCCACCAACCAAGUGCCUGGUAGGAGGAGUCAACAGGUUUCAGCUGACAGCCCUGACGUCUGACCACACACACACACACACACACACACAGACGAGGGACCAAGCACGUGGAAAGGACACACACUCCAGUCACCCAUCUGCCUGAGGAAGGAGGGAAGGAGAAGAGAUAUGGCCCUCUCCAUCCCUCCAUUCAUCCCUCCAUCCAUCCAUCCCUCCAUCCAUCCCUCUACCCAUCUGGGAGUAGACCUUACUUCAUGAACAGUGACCAACAGGCCACAUCAGAACUGUAGGCUCUAUGUAGGCUCUAUGUAGGCUGUGUAGGCUCUAUGUAGGCUGUAUGUAGGCCUCUAUGUAGGCUAUAAUUAAAUGAGCACAGUUGAAUACACGUGUCCUUACAUCUCAAUCAUAUAAAAUAUGGACGAAACAGACAAAACACACAGCAUAGCCUAGCCUACAUAGACACAUUUUUUUUUGUAAUUAAAUUACUGCCUUUCACAGUUUUUUUAUUGCGCAGGCUGACAUCGCGAUUGCGAUUGUGAUUAUAUUAAUCGUCCAGCACUAACCUAAAGCUAAUUUAAUAAUUUAGCUAAUUGCAUAACAUGAGCGAGAUCGUAAGUGCAAACAUGGGUGUGUCAGCGUAACUCUGUGGUCUGUCAGCGUAACUCUGUGGUGUGUCAGCGUAACUCUGUUGUGUGUCAGCGUAACUCUGUGGUGUGUCAGCGUAACUCUGGUGACUCUGCGGUGUGUGUAACUCUGUGGUGUGUCAGCGUAACUCUGUGGUGUGUCAGCGUAACUCUGGUAACUCUGGGGUGUGUCAGCGUAACUCUGUGGUGUGUCAGCGUAACUCUGUGGUGUGUCAGCGUAACUCUGUGGUGUGUAACUCUGUGGUGUGUAACUCUGUGGUGUGUAACUCUGGGGUGUGUAACUCUGGGGUUUGUAACUCUGGGGUGUGAACGUUAAUAAGGUAUGGUCGAGUCAUUGUGAUUGGCUGAUCAAGAAUGACUUCAUUGCCACAUCCACUAAUAAAUCA
ensembl:lncRNA